rnacentral:rRNA from 1 species
GAUCCUGGCUCCGAUUGAACGCUGGCGGCAGGCCUAACACAUGCAAGUCGAACGGUAACAGGAAGCAGCUUGCUGCUUUGCUGACGAGUGGCGGACGGGUGAGUAAUGUCUGGGAAACUGCCUGAUGGAGGGGGAUAACUACUGGAAACGGUAGCUAAUACCGCAUAACGUCGCAAGACCAAAGAGGGGGACCUUCGGGCCUCUUGCCAUCGGAUGUGCCCAGAUGGGAUUAGCUUGUUGG